UACGAAGGGGGCUAGCGUUGCUCGGAAUCACUGGGCGUAAAGCGCACGUAGGCGGCUUUUUAAGUCAGGGGUGAAAUCCCGGAGCUCAACUCCGGAACUGCCUUUGAUACUGAAAAGCUUGAGUUCGGGAGAGGUGAGUGGAACUGCGAGUGUAGAGGUGAAAUUCGUAGAUAUUCGCAAGAACACCAGUGGCGAAGGCGGCUCACUGGCCCGAUACUGACGCUGAGGUGCGAAAGCGUGGGGAGCGAACAGG
rnacentral:rRNA from 1 species